ACCUACAAGUCGAGCAGGGUCGAAAGACGGACUUAGUGAUCCGGUGGUUCCGCAUGGAAGGGCCAUCGCUCAACGGAUAAAAGCUACCCCGGGGAUAACAGGCUUAUCUCCCCCAAGAGUUCACAUCGACGGGGAGGUUUGGCACCUCGAUGUCGGCUCAUCGCAUCCUGGGGCUGUAGUCGGUCCCAAGGGUUGGGCUGUUCGCCCAUUAAAGCGGUACGCGAGCUGGGUUCAGAACGUCGUGAGACAGUUCGGUCCCUAUCCGUCGUGGGCGUAGGAAAUUUGAGAGGAGCUGUCCUUAGUACGAGAGGACCGGGAUGGACAUACCUCUGGUGUACCAGUUGUCGUGCCAACGGCAUAGCUGGGUAGCUAUGUGUGGACGGGAUAAGUGCUGAAAGCAUCUAAGCAUGAAGCCCCCCUCAAGAUGAGAUUUCCCAACUUCGGUUAUAAGAUCCCUCAAAGAUGAUGAGGUUAAUAGGUUCGAGGUGGAAGCAUGGUGACAUGUGGAGCUGACGAAUACUAAUCGAUCGAAGACUUAAUCAA
rnacentral:rRNA from 1 species